rnacentral:lncRNA from 1 species
CAGCUGAAAAGCAUGGUGCCACCAAUCCUUGCACUUCAAGUUCCCGUUUGCCUCAUUGGGAGUCCAGCCAACUUGCUGUCUGUUGUUUAGUGUGGGCGAGGAGAUGGGAGGAAAGAACUGGGUGAUGGGAGGGUAGGAGGACAAAGAGACACUGUGGGGAGUGGAAAUUUCAUUGAAGGGGGCGAAGGAGGGGAGAGUGAGAAACAAGACUCUUGAUGGGGGAAAAAUGCAGCUUCAGAUGAUCAAAAGAUAUACAACAGGAAGGAGGAGGAAGAGAAAAGAAGAACAGCAAUAUGAGAAACCAGGAGAAGAAAACACAGUGACCACAACAAUGUGAAAGAAAACAACAUUCAAAGAUAUAGGCCUCUUGUAUGUAUAUGCAGUGGUUGAUCACAACUUAGAAGAUGGAUCAUAAAUCAGGCUUCUUAUCUUUUGGCAGACAUAGAGUCCCCUGAGACUCAUUCAUCCUAGGGCUUCUCUUUAUACUAUCUCACUUGGUGAGCUCAUUACUUCCU